CCUGGUUGAUCCCAGUAGUCAUAUGCUUGUCUCAAAGAUUAAGCCAUGCAUGUCUAAGUAUAAACCGCUUUAUACAGGUGAAACUGCGAAUGGCUCAUUAAAUCAGUUAUAAUUUAUUUGAUAGUACAAUUACUACUUGGAUAACCGUGGUAAUUCUAGAGCUAAUACAUGCUAAAAUUCCCGACUUCUGGAAGGGAUGUAUUUAUUAGAUAAAAAACCAAUAUCGGGCAACCGAUUCCACUGGUGAUUCAUGAUAACUUUUCGAAUCGUACGGCUUCAAGCUGACGAUGAAUCAUUCAAAUUUCUGCCCUAUCAACUCUCGAUGGUAGGAUAGAGGCCUACCAUGGUGGUAACGGGUAACGGGGUGUUAGGGCACGACACCGGAGAGGGAGCCUGAGAAACGGCUACCACAUCCAAGGAAGGCAGCAGGCGCGCAAAUUACCCAAUCCCGGCACGGGGAGGUAGUGACAAUAAAUAACAAUACAGGGUUCUUUUGGAUCUUGUAAUUGGAAUGAGUACAAUUUAAAUCUCUUAACGAGGAACAAUUGGAGGGCAAGUCUGGUGCCAGCAGCCGCGGUAAUUCCAGCUCCAAUAGCGUAUAUUAAUGUUGUUGCAGUUAAAAAGCUCGUAGUUGAAAUUCGGGAUCAAUAUAUCGGUCGUGCCUUGGUACGUACUGGUAUCAUUGGUUUCUCCUUUCUGACAAACCAUGAUGUCAUUAAUUUGGUGUUAUGGGAAGUUAGGACUGUUACUUUGAAAAAAUUAGAGUGUUUAAAGCAGGCUUUAGCUUGAAUACAUUAGCAUGGAAUAAUGAAAUAGGACGUUCGAACCUAUUUUGUUGGUUUCUAGGAUCAACGUAAUGAUUAAUAGGGAUAGUUGGGGGCAUUAGUAUUCAAUUGUCAGAGGUGAAAUUCUUGGAUUUAUUGAAGACUAACUACUGCGAAAGCAUUUGCCAAGGAUGUUUUCAUUAAUCAAGAACGAAAGUUAGGGGAUCGAAGACGAUCAGAUACCGUCGUAGUCUUAACCAUAAACUAUGCCGACUAGGGAUCGGAUGAUGUUAAUUUUUUAAUGACUCAUUCGGCGCCUUACGGGAAACCAAAGUGUUUGGGUUCCGGGGGGAGUAUGGUCGCAAGGCUGAAACUUAAAGGAAUUGACGGAAGGGCACCACCAGGGGUGGAGCCUGCGGCUUAAUUUGACCCAACACGGGGAAACUCACCAGGUCCAGACACG
rnacentral:rRNA from 1 species